rnacentral:lncRNA from 1 species
GUGAGGGGCGCAGCGGGAGAACAGAGCGCGGGGAGGACGCGGCGGAGCGGAGCGGAGCGCGGGCCAGCGCAGCGCGGUCACCCGGGCCGGGUGGGGAGGCGCGGAGCGGGCCGGGCGCAGCGGCGGCAGGUGAAGGCGCCCGAGUCCGCUAGGCGGGUGCGGCGGGCGGAGGCCGCGGUCUGGGUGCCGAGGCGCCCGCAACCGGGCCCUCGGGGGUGCGCGCUUAGCCGCGGCUCCUCCGCCUUCUCCCUUGCUGCGGCCGGCGCCGUGGACUCGGUGGGGUUUGUCUUCCUUUGGGGGAGUGACGCUGACGAGAGCCAUUUCCUCCGCGCUCGCAGGAAGGAGCCAUGGCUCUGGACGGGAUAAGGAUGCCAGAUGGCUGCUACGCGGACGGGACGUGGGAACUGAGCGUCCAUGUCACCGACCUGAACCGUGAUGUCACCCUCAGAGUGACCGGGGAGGUGCACAUCGGAGGGGUGAUGCUGAAGUUGGUGGAAAAACUCGAUGUCAAAAAAGAUUGGUCUGACCAUGCUCUCUGGUGGGAAAAGAAGAAAACUUGGCUGCUUAAGACACACUGGACCUUGGAUAAGUAUGGCAUCCAGGCAGACGCCAAGCUUCAGUUCACCCCACAGCACAAACUGCUCCGCCUGCAGCUUCCCAACAUGAAAUAUGUGAAGGUGAAAGUGAACUUCUCUGACCGAGUCUUCAAAGCUGUGUCGGACAUCUGCAAGACUUUCA